rnacentral:rRNA from 1 species
CCUACAGGAGGCAGCAGUGAGGAAUAUUGGUCAAUGGACGCAAGUCUGAACCAGCCAUGUCGCGUGCAGGAUGACGGCUCUAUGAGUUGUAAACUGCUUUUGUACGAGGGUAAACCCCGAUACGUGUAUCGGGUUGAAAGUAUCGUACGAAUAAGGAUCGGCUAACUCCGUGCCAGCAGCCGCGGUAAUACGGAGGAUCCGAGCGUUAUCCGGAUUUAUUGGGUUUAAAGGGUGCGUAGGCGGUUUGAUAAGCUAGAUGUGAAAUGUCGGGGCUCAACCCCGGAACUGCCUCUAAUACUGUUGGACUAGAGAAUAGUGACAGUAGGCGGAAUGUAUGGUGUAGCGGUGAAAUGCUUAGAGAUCAUACAGAACACCGAUUGCGAAGGCAGCAUACCGGCGCCCAACUGACGCUGAAGCACGAAAGCGUGGGUAUCGAACAGGAUUAGAUACCCCAGUAGUC